GAGGGGGGCUGCUCCUAGUACGAGAGGACCGGAGUGGACGCAUCACUGGUGUUCGGGUUGUCAUGCCAAUGGCACUGCCCGGUAGCUAAAUGCGGAAGAGAUAAGUGCUGAAAGCAUCUAAGCACGAAACUUGCCCCGAGAUGAGUUCUCCCUGACCCUUUAAGGGUCCUGAAGGAACGUUGAAGACGACGACGUUGAUAGGCCGGGUGUGUAAGCGCAGCGAUGCGUUGAGCUAACCGGUACUAAUGAACCGUGAGGCUUAACCUUACAACGCCGAAG
rnacentral:rRNA from 2 species